AAGGGCACCACAAGAACGCGUGGAGCAUGUGGCUUAAUUUGACUCAACGCGGGAAAUCUUACCAGGUCCAGAGGUACUGAGGAUUGACAGGUUGUUAUGAGGUUUUCUCUUUUUUCGGAAAGAUAAAAACUCAUAUUAAAUAUGCUAGUCCUUUCAUGAUUGUAUCAUAGGUGGUGCAUGGCCGUUCUUAGUUCGUGGAGUGAUCUGUCUGCUUAAUUGCGUUUCACUAAUUUUGGAGAUGUAACGAAUACUUUGUUUGCACACAAAGUCGCUGCUUUUAUACUUAUAUUCUUAUAAGUAUAUUUGCACCUUUGUUGUUGCACAGUAUUCUUAAACAUAUCUCCUGAAGGCAACGAACGUGACCGCAACAUCUUGUUGCUUUUUCUGUAAUUAAGUAAUUUAUUAUUUUUUUACUAUAUAAAAGCUAACUAGGUGGACCGCUGAACUAUUUCUAAACAGAGGAAGGUUGCGGCAAUAACAGGUCUGUGAUGCCCUUAGAUGUUCUGGGCUGCACACGUGCUACAAUGAUUAUUGCAGUAAGCAUCUAUUAUGAAAAAUAAUAAAAUUUAUUUUUUAUUAUUUGAGGAUAGUGAUUAUUUUUAAAAUUUAUACUUUUUGUAUAAAUUUUAAAAAGCUAUCCGUAUGACCUACUUCGAAGGUAAGUAGGUAAUCAAUUCGAAGUAAUGAUUUCCUUUUGCACAUCAUUAUGUUUCUUGUUUCUAGACUUUGUAGUUUUCUCUUCGGGGAAUUCUAUAAUGCUCUACCUUGAAACAUGUGCUCCAUUAAUUCAUGGUGGGGACAGACCAUUGUUAAUUGUUGGUCUCGGUCUCAACUAGGAAUGCCUUGUACGGGUCCUGGUUCAACAGACCACCCGGAAUAUGUCCCUGCCCUUUGUACACACCGCCCGUCGCUCUUACCGAUGGACUAUUCUGUGAGUUUACAGGAAAGGGUUGCCAGGAGCUUCGGCAAAUGGUAAUCUAUGUGAAUGUACACGAACAGUGUGGUCUAAAGGAAAGAGAAGUCGUAACAAGGCAUCAGUAGGUGAACCUGCAGAAGGAUCA
rnacentral:rRNA from 1 species